rnacentral:tRNA from 1 species
GGGGAUUUAGCUCAGUGGUAGAGUGCUUGCCCUGCAAGCACAAGGCUCUGGGUUCGGUCCCCAGCUCCG